CUCUGGCCCAAAGAGUCUGCUUUUGGUUCCUAGCAGUGAUGGGCAGGAAUAAAGAAGGUUAGAACAAAAGAAGUAAACCCUGCCAAUGCCAGGCUUUCACCAAAGCGGAGCUAACCAGUCUACAAGAUGACUCCCACGCUGUAGUUGCUGGAGGCAGCCUGUUCAAAAAACACCAUCAUGGUGGAGAUGGUUGAUUGAUUCUUCUUUGUAUCACCUGUAAUACCGACAUCUUUCCUACAGACCAAUGGCCUACAAAAUGUCUUAUAUACAGGUCCAAAUGGUAAAGGGCAUGCAGAUGAGUUAGAGGGAGGAUACAAUGCACAAGAAAAGGUCCUUGGUGUCCUGAGGGGACUGUUCCUCCCAGCUGCCUACUUGAGUGGUCUACAUACACAUCUUCGGCCCCCAAAUGAGACCUAUGUGGAAAAGGACGACAUUGAGCAAAGGGCAUAGGUGGCAACUCCCUCACCCUGCAGCACAUCAUCUGUUACUCUCAGCUCAAAGGUUUAAAGAGAGCAAGAAGAUUUACCUCAGAGGGCUGGCGUCUCUGUCACCAUCCCCAGCUCCAUUUCAGAGAGGGAUGUGCAGAAGAGAGAAGAGGAGGUGGCUGUCACUCUGAAGCAAGAUAAUACAUAAGAAAUUAAAUGGUAGUGAAUGAGUAAUGCUAAAGGAUAGAAAAAGUUGUAGAGAAGCGGAGAGAAGCCCAGGAGCUAAGCCAGCAGCAGACGAGAUGCCCACCAAUGCUGGAUAAUUUAUUCUGGAAACAGGCC